UGACUACCGAAACCAAGCAGCCCUAACUUGUUAGACGAACCUUUGAAAGACUUCAUAGUGAUCCCUGCCGACCUACCUUGGUAGUGGGUUAUGAGGCUGAUCACCUCAGGCGAAAGGGUAAAUCAUAACUCAUGGGUAAAGAUGUACAACUUCUGCAGAGUGUUAAAAACUGGUAUACUAGCCGUGCUCACGGUCACGAGCGGCCUUGGGGAUUCUUACAUUAAAGGUGAUGAAUCUUGUUGUGUUAAGAUACUCAUUGUUUAUUGUUUAAUGCUCUAUAUUAUUUAUGUCACAUGAUCAUGAGACUGUGGAAUCUAUACAAUCUAGUUGUUAUACUUGCAG
rnacentral:lncRNA from 1 species